rnacentral:sRNA from 1 species
UAUACUGGACACGCAGGGUGCUGUAGGA